GAUGAACGCUGGCGGCGUGCCUAAUACAUGCAAGUCGAGCGAACAGAUGAGGAGCUUGCUCCUCUGACGUUAUCGGCGGACGGGUGAUUAACACGUGGAUAACCUACCUAUAAGACUGGGAUAACUUCGGGAAACCGGAGCUAAUACCGGAUAAUAUAUUGAACCUCAUGGUUCAAUAGUGAAAGACGGUUUUGCUUUCACUUAUAGAUGGAUCCGCGCCGCAUUAGCUAGUUGGUAAGGUAACGGCUUACCAAGGCAACGAUGCGUAGCCGACCUGAGAGGGUGAUCGGCCACACUGGAACUGAGACACGGUCCAGACUCCUACGGGAGGAAGCAGUAGGGAAUCUCCCGCAAAGGGGGAAAGCCCGACGGAGCAACGCCGCGUGAGUGAUGAAGGUCUUCGGAUCGUAAAACUCUGUUAUUGGGGAAGAACAAAUGUGUAAGUAACUAUGCACGUCUUGACGGUACCUAAUCAGAAAGCCACGGCUAACUACGUG
rnacentral:rRNA from 1 species